rnacentral:lncRNA from 1 species
GUCAUCGAGAACAGCUAACACUUUCUUAUUUUUUAGCCGGUCUUGUGCAACUCCUAAAUGAUGGAUAGUGACAUCAUUCUGAUUGAGUAUUAGAGACAAGAACUUAUUUUGUAAUUGCAGUUGUGCGCUGUAUCUAUCAAAACAAGGUCUUGGAUACUCUCUUUUGAUAUUCUCCAUGAAGACGCUAAGUUGAAAGUCAGGAGAGUGUUGGCUAAAUAGAGAUCUGGCGAUGGUGCUCUUACCAAUUCCAGACGGACCCCAAAUCCCUAUCAUCCUCACCUCAUUGGAAUCCAAGCGUAAGAGCAGAUCCAUAUUUUCCAUGUGAGCUCUCAUCCCAACUAAGCUGUUAAAAUCACUUGAUGGAACAGAACUAAUCAGCUUGUUUGAAACAUCUGUGGCUAUUUCCUCAAUCAUGGCCGCUUCAUUAUCCCUAAACAGAGGAAAGAUAAUACAUCGGCUCAAACGGUUUCCAAAUAAGAGUUGUUUGGCUGGAAAUAUGCUGUGUGCAAUUCUCAAGAAUGUCACAUUGCAUGUUUUUAUACACAAAUUUUUGGAUGAUGUUAAAUACACAAAACUCUUAAAUUAAAAAUUAAGCAACUCUAUUUGAAUUCACGCUCCCAAUAUCUCUUCAUUAAAUAACCAAAUAUGUUCAAAAUUUAGAGAAUGGUAUAAGUUUUCACAAAUUAACCCACACACCGAAACACACCGUUUUGAGUUUUCUCUCUAGUGAGCGAUUCUGAGGCGAUUUGGAGCUAGGGUUUUGAGGAUGGAUUCGGCUGCGCCACCGGGUUCUCCUGUCUCUCCGACGAGGGAUAGGAUGGUUACGGAGGUUCGCGACGAGGGUUCUACGGUGGGGAAGUCAGAUCUACCUACCAUUCCGAAGCUUGGGCUGAGUUGGGUGUUUGCUGCCCAAGAUUGAGUAUUAGAGACAAGAACUUAUUUUGUAAUUGCAGUUGUGCGCUGUAUCUAUCAAAACAAGGUCUUGGAUACUCUCUUUUGAUAUUCUCCAUGAAGACGCUAAGUUGAAAGUCAGGAGAGUGUUGGCUAAAUAGAGAUCUGGCGAUGGUGCUCUUACCAAUUCCAGACGGACCCCAAAUCCCUAUCAUCCUCACCUCAUUGGAAUCCA